rnacentral:lncRNA from 1 species
AAGAAGAGAAAAAGAAAGAAAAGAAACAGAAUAGAAGAGACGAAACAAAGAAAGAAACAGAGAGCAAAACGAGCAGAGAAGGAAGGAAAGAAAGAAAGAAAGAAAGAAAAAGAAAAAGGGAAAUUUGAGGUUUUAAGGUUCCAAGCUCAAUUGGUAAGUCAAAUUAAGUCAUUUUCUUAUAAUUUUUGAGUUUUUGGAAUCCUAGAGAUAAAUACUACUUGAUUUAUGUUGAUAUUUUGAAAGUUAGUAGAUCGUCAGACAUGAGUUAUGUUGAAUUAAUUGAUGAACUAGAGGUUAAAAUGAUUGAAUUUUAAGUUAGAAGUUAGUAAAAGAUUGAUUUGUAAAAUAAGAUAUAAGUUUUGAAUUGAUAGGGAUUAAAUUGAAAGAAUCCCGAAAUUAGGGAUUUAUGGGGAAAUUGAAGAAUUAAACUGAGUUUAUAGUAAGAAUUAAGAGAGAAUAUAGAGUUAGAAUGGAAAAAUAAAAUUAGUAUUGAUAAGGGAUUAAAUUAGAAUUUGGGUAAAGUUUAGGUAUACGGGAAAUAUUUUAAUGAAAUUGAGUAUUAAUGAUUUUUAAUUGUUUAAUUACGUAGCUAAUGUCGUGUACGAGUCAUUGCCCGAGAAAGGAGAAGGUGGACAAGGAUUGACUCGGGAGAAAUUUCGGUUAGUAUUAAUAUAAUUCGAAUUUAAUUAUUAAUUGUUAAAAUUUAAAUUAAUAUACAUAAUAAGAAAAUUGAGGUAAGCAUCCCGACUGAAUUGAAUGAUAAAUACGUAUUGGUAUUGAAUUUAUUAAUAGUAAUUGUUGAAUUUUGAAUAAUAUGUUUAGUAUAAAAAAAAUAGAUGAAUAUUGAUAUUGAAUUGUACAUGAAUUUGAUUAGAAAAUGAAUUAAAAAUAUAUAUAUGAAUGGAAUAAAAGUGAAUUAAAUUGUGAAUAAGUGUGAUAUAUGUGAAUGGUGGAAUAAGUAGUAAAUUGUAAUGACGGAGAAAUGAUAAAUCCUUUUUGAAAUAAUUUUGUAAAGUAUUUAAAUAAAUGAGAUUCAGAUUUAAUGCCCAAGUAGAUGGAAUUUAGAACUACCAGGAUAUUAGUGGCAUGCCAUUAAGGAACUUAUUAAGGAACUUUAGUGCGCUCUCUGAUAUUAGCACGUUGGUGCUCUCUGAUAUUAGCACGUUGGUGCUCUCUGUUUAGCACAUUUGUGCUCUCUGUAUUUGUUCCGUAUAUCCGGGGUGUUCUGUAAAAUCUACUUUGGGCUAAGAUUAUAAGCUGUGGACAAAAGUGAAUCAUUAAUAUGUUAAGGUAUGUUUUAUAAAGUUUAUAUGUACCGUUUUAGGUAUAAUGUGCCGUAUUGGUGUGUUUUGGUUAGAUCCGUGUAUCCGCCAAGGUCCGAGACAAGUUAAUAGGGGUAAAUGAAUAAUUUUGAUAAUAUAAAUUUUUAUUGAAUGAUCUUGAAUAUGAAUUGAAAUAGCUAUUGUUAAGAAAUGAGAAGUGAAAAUAAAAUAAUUUGAAAGAGUGAAAUAAUAUGUGAAUUUAAUUGAAUACAAGUUAUUGAAAUUUAGUUAUGGAUUUAAUGAAUAAAUUGAGUGUUAAAAGAUUUAAAGUACAUAUUGAAUAUAAAUAGAAUGGAUAAUGAAUGAGUUGAUAAAUUGAUUGAAUUUGUAUGAAUUGGAAUGAGAUGUGAAAAAUUCCAUGAAAUUGAGAUAGUGGAAUAAGGUAUAAAUACAAUUAAAUACAAGAUUUGAAUUAUUGCUUAUUGUUAUUAAUUAUCAAGUUGAUUUAAUGUAUGAGAUAAUUAAUGAAUAAUUGUAGACAUAAAUAAAAUAUAUAUAAUUUAUCAAUUAAUGUUAUUAAUUUGAAUUAUGGUAAUACCACUGAGUAUUCCCAUACUCAGCGUACAGUUGUUUCCGUGCGCAGGAUUGUAGAAAACUAGUGUUCGAUUCAGCAUCCAAAGUAAUCCCGACCUCAAAGACAUUUUAGUGAUGUACCUUUCUGUUGAUAAUGUGGCAUGUACCUAGGUAAUUUAUAUACCUAAGUGAUGUAUAGGGAUUAGUCAUUUUGAAUGUUGUAUCUAUGAUAUUGGUAAAGAAAGAUGUGUGAGUAUGUGAUAAUGUUUGGCUUUUAAAAUGGUUAAGUAUGAAAAUCAAGAAAGGGUAAAUUUUGCAAAGAAACAGAAUUCAGACAGCAAUAGCGACGUAACUUUGAAAAAUCACCUAAGAUAGUAUAAAAUGAAUUAGAGGGUGAAUGAUAUAUGAAAUUAAAUAUUGUUGAGUCUAUUUUUAUAGAAAAAUAACUGUUUAGCAAAAAGAAAUUUAUAUUUUAAGAUAUAUGAAUUUUAGUGAGACAGGGUCAGAAUUGUUUCUGGAGUCCCCUGUUCCGAGUUUAGAAAAUCACUAAAAAUGGUAUAAAAAUAGUUAUGAGUUGUAGUUUAUAUGUAUAGAAUCCUUAUUGAGUCUAUUUUCUGUAGAAACAAGUGGUAAUAUCAUAUGGAAAUCCUAUAGUGAGAAUUUAUUUUUAAUACCAAGGGGUCAGGACAGUUGAGUGAAGAAACAGGGGAGACUUUAACUAAUAAACUGUACUAAUUGGCCAAACCAAAAAUUCUGAAAAUUUUAUGGUAGAAAUAUAUAUGAAUCUGGUUUCAGGGAAAAUUUACGGAAUUAAAUUUUGAGUCUCGUAGCUCGAGUUAUAAUCAAUUUAGUAACUGCUGCGCGAUUAGGCAGAUUACUGUAAACAGUGAAAUAAAUUUUCAAAACGAAUUUUUAUGCCCCGAAUUAGUAAGAUAAGUUAGGUAAUGCUUCGUGCUCGACUUCGGAAACGGUCUCGGGUAAGGGGUGUUCCAAACUAUAUCCCGACUUAGCCCGACUAGUUAAUAGGGUAUUCAAAUUCUCAAUUCACUUUCAUUUCCAAUUCAAGAUCAUUUUUCCACUUUCUAAUCAAUUAACAAUUUAAUACCAAUACAUAUAUCAAAUAAUCACAUAUAACCAUAUUUCGAUUCAAUUCAAACCACUUUUCAAUCAAUACACAAUUCACAUACUCACACAUAUUCAUAAAUUAUUUCACUUUAUUUAAUUCAUAUUUUAAAUUCAUUUUCCAAUCAAAUUCAAAUCACUAAUUACUUUUCAAUCAAUAUACAUUUCACUACUCACAUAUUUCCAUCAUUCGAUUCAAUUUGAUUCAAUUCAAAUCACUAUUAUCACUUCAAUUGCUUACCUAAUUUUACUUACCAUGCAUUUAAUUAAAAUAUAACAAUUAAUAAUAACUAAAUUUGAAUUAUAGUAAUACAAACCCGAAUUUGCUCGAUUAUUCCUCAACGACCUUCUCCUUCCCUUUUUGUGCCGAUACCUCGAAUUCUUUAUUAGCUACGAAAAUUAAAUAAUUAAUUACAACACAAAUUUUACAAUAAAAAUAAAAUUUCUAUCAAAUUUUAUACUUUAAUUCCAAUUUAAUCCUAACUAGAUUUAUCUACUUUUCUAAUUUAAUUCACACUCUAUUUCUAUUCAAAUUUCUUCUAAACUCAAAUUUAUCUACUAAUUUUUUCAGCAUUUUUCACUAAUUUCGAAUUUUCCUCAAUUUAAUCCCUAAAAUUCAAAACUUAUAGUUUAGUUUACAAUUCAAUCCUUUAUUCAAUUCCAAAUAAAAUCUCUAUCAAAUAAAUCCUCAAUUCCAUCAUUUAUUCAACAUAAACCCUACUAAAAAAUCUAUUAACUUUCAAAAUUUCAACUUAAAUCCAAGAGUAUUUCACUCUAGGAUUCCAAAAACAUCAAAUUUAUGAGAAAAUGACUUGAUUUAGCUUACCUAUUAAGCUUCAAAAUCUCAAUUUUCCCCUUUCUUUUCUUUCCCUUUUUCUUCCCCUGUUUUCGUCUCUUUCUCUGUUUCUUUUCUGUUCUUCUUCUCUUUUUCUAUUCUUUUAUUUCAUUUGUUUUCUUUUACUUUUUGUUAUAAUAAUAUAACAUAUAAUAAUUAAUAUAAAUAUCUUUUACCACACAUGUCAUAUUCAUAACCAUACAUUUGUCUUAAUCUUAUUUAUUUCACAAUAUAAUAAUAAUAAUAAUAAUUUAAUAAUAUAUUUUAACUCAUAAAAAUCUUAGAUUUUUAUGCUUAUGCCGCCUCAAAUUUGGCAAUUGGCAUAAUUACCUAUUUAAUCCCCUUUAUUUUAUUUUAAUCUAUAAUUAAACUUUCACUUUUAUUGUAAUUUAAUCCUUUUUACUAAUUACUCUUAAUUAGACUAAAUUCACCUAAUUAAUACCUAAUUAAGUACUAAACUAAACUCAUAAUUACUUCUAAUAAUUAUUUUUGAACUCAAUUUACUAAGACGGAGGCUUGAUAUUAUACUUUUCCGAAGCCCGUGAAUUUUUGGCUCAUUAUAUGUUAAUAGGGUUAUGUGUGUGCUUGUACGUUAAAUGUGAUUGUAUGAAGAUCAUUACAGUGUAUAUUGGGAUUCAUCAUUUGUUACGGAUCACCAAGUAUUAUAUGUCUCUAUGGUGAACCUAGUGUAGUGGAGGGACGUACUAUUAUACGAUUAUUCAUAUGAUUACCUAUGGGUUUUGCACUUCGAUGCCCUGGUAUGGUGUAGAUACUGCUCAGACAAGCUUUUUGAUGUGGUGUAGUUGCCCGUGUAUCCGAAUUUGUUCACUAGAAUUUCAUCGGGAUAAAUAGUUAAUGAAAAGUGAAAAAUGGUAAUGAUAUGAUACAAGUUUGAUACCUAAAUGGUUAAAUGUUGAUUGGAUUAUGAGAAUGGUAUUGAAAAUGUUGAUUUUAUGUGAAUUGGAUUGCUAUGUGUUUGAGUUACCAUAUUCAAAGGUUACAUGUUAAACUCACAUUAUUGAUAUUUGAUUUUCUAUGUUUAGGCAAACUUGACAAACUAAAUAACUUAUUGUGUUUAAUUGUAAAAUGAGGUAAGUUUUUGUUUAAUGUCUUUGAGCUUACUAAGCAUUCAAUAUGCUUACUCCAUUGUUUUCCCUUUUCCUUAUAGAUUGUCACUUUGUGGAAUGUGUCAAGCAGAUUACCUUGAAGCUCACACUAUUCAGUUUUUGAAUCGGUAGCUUUUCAAUCAUUUUAAGUCCGAAAUUAUGGCACGUACAUAGGUGUUUUAUAUAUGUUAACUUUGAAUGUUAGACAUAGUUUGAAACCUACCUAAUGCAUGAUUUUGGCAAUGUUAAUACCUAGUUGAAAUGGUAUGUUAAUUAAAAUAACAUGUUUGAACAUGGAUUAAUAUAGAUGAGAUGUUGGUAUUUGAAUGACUAGUUGGUUGGAUGGAUGGUUUAUAAUUGAAUUAGUUGAAUUGGUAUGUUUUGGGUUAAAUUGAGCUUAUAUUGAAUGGAUACAAUGGAAAUGGUUAAAUGGUUUGUUUUGGUAUGUCUUUAGUACAGUUUAAAUCAAGUAAAAAUGCUGAUUUGUUGUGUAAAUUGUAUAGGUUAUUUGGAAGCAUUAAAAUAGGUACCAAAUGGUUCAUUUUUUACCAUUGUCUUGAUGUCGCAACACCAAUGCCUCCAUCACCACUCAAGGAGUUGGACUUUAACAAGGUGCAUUUCAAGUGGCCUGUCUUCAAAGUCACAACAUCAAGUGAUGUCACAACACCUACCUCCAUGGUCGUGAUGGUAAGUCACAAAUGUCGCAACCUCGAGUUCAAACACCAAAUGGAGGAAGCUAGGUCAUUUGAGUGCAAAGUCACAACACAAGAAGAUCAUGGUCGCGACAUUGGAUCUCCCAAACAACCUUUGAAGUCAAUUGAUAAGGGUGUCGCAACAAUGAAGCUUGGUGAGUGAAAAACUAUAGGGGACAAUUUUAUGUCUAAACAAACUUUAGUCACAUUUCAUUUAAGGGCAUAAUUGUCAAUGUUAGGUUAAAUGUUAAUAGACUCUAAAUACUACUUUAUAAGUUUUAAGAGUAGAUUUUAUAAAGUAGUAUUUUGGGUGAUUGAACAUUUUCCUUCCCAUAUUUUUAGGUUAGGUUUCUUUUCUUUUCUUAUCUUUUCAUUUUUAAAUUAAGGUUUUCCCUUUUCUUUUUAGAAUAUAUUUUAUUUUUGUUGUUUUAUUUCUUCUUUCUUGUUAAAGACUUUUGUAAAUGAAGAUGGAUCAAGCUUUUGGGUGUCAUUGGUUCCACAUAUAACUAUUCGAUGAAAUGUCUAUUUGGGUGUUAAGUUUUAUUAUGUGC